rnacentral:rRNA from 1 species
UACAGAGGGGGCUAGCGUUGCUCGGAAUCACUGGGCGUAAAGGGUGCGUAGGCGGGUCUUUAAGUCAGGGGUGAAAUCCUGGAGCUCAACUCCAGAACUGCCUUCGAUACUGAGAGUCUCGAGUCCGAGAGAGGUGAGUGGAACUGCGAGUGUAGAGGUGAAAUUCGUAGAUAUUCGCAAGAACACCAGUGGCGAAGGCGGCUCACUGGCUCGGUACUGACGCUGAGGUGCGAAAGCGUGGGGAGCAAACAGG